rnacentral:rRNA from 1 species
GACGAACGCUGGCGGCGUGCUUAACACAUGCAAGUCGAACGGAAAGGCCCUGCUUUUGUGGGGUGCUCGAGUGGCGAACGGGUGAGUAACACGUGAGUAACCUGCCCUUGACUUUGGGAUAACUUCAGGAAACUGGGGCUAAUACCGGAUAGGAGCUCCUGCUGCAUGGUGGGGGUUGGAAAGUUUCGGCGGUUGGGGAUGGACUCGCGGCUUAUCAGCUUGUUGGUGGGGUAGUGGCUUACCAAGGCUUUGACGGGUAGCCGGCCUGAGAGGGUGACCGGCCACAUUGGGACUGAGAUACGGCCCAGACUCCUACGGGAGGCAGCAGUGGGGAAUAUUGCACAAUGGGCGGAAGCCUGAUGCAACAACGCCGCGUGCGGGAUGACGGCCUUCGGGUUGUAAACCGCUUUCGCCUGUGACGAAGCGUGAGUGACGGUAAUGGGUAAAGAAGCACCGGCUAACUACGUGCCAGCAGCCGCGGUGAUACGUAGGGUGCGAGCGUUGUCCGGAUUUAUUGGGCGUAAAGGGCUCGUAGGUGGUUGAUCGCGUCGGAAGUGUAAUCUUGGGGCUUAACCCUGAGCGUGCUUUCGAUACGGGUUGACUUGAGGAAGGUAGGGGAGAAUGGAAUUCCUGGUGGAGCGGUGGAAUGCGCAGAUAUCAGGAGGAACACCAGUGGCGAAGGCGGUUCUCUGGGCCUUUCCUGACGCUGAGGAGCGAAAGCGUGGGGAGCGAACAGGCUUAGAUACCCUGGUAGUCCACGCUGUAAACGGUGGGUACUAGGUGUGGGGUCCAUUCCACGGGUUCCGUGCCGUAGCUAACACUUUAAGUACCCCGCCUGGGGAGUACGGCCGCAAGGCUAAAACUCAAAGGAAUUGACGGGGCCCCGCACAAGCGGCGGAGCAUGCGGAUUAAUUCGAUGCAACGCGUAGAACCUUACCUGGGUUUGACAUGGAUCGGGAGUGCUCAGAGAUGGGUGUGCCUCUUUUGGGGUCGGUUCACAGGUGGUGCAUGCCUGCCGUCAGCUCGUGUCGUGAGAUGUUGGGUUAAGUCCCGCAACGAGCGCAACCCUUGUUCACUGUUGCCAGCACGUUAUGGUGGGGACUCAGUGGAGACCGCCGGGGUCAACUCGGAGGAAGGUGGGGAUGACGUCAAGUCCUCAUGCCCCUUAUGUCCAGGGCUUCACGCAUGCUACAAUGGCUGGUACAGAGAGUGGCGAGCCUGUGAGGGUGAGCGAAUCUCGGAAAGCCGGUCUCAGUUCGGAUUGGGGUCUGCAACUCGACCUCAUGAAGUCGGAGUCGCUAGUAAUCGCAGAUCAGCAACGCUGCGGUGAAUACGUUCCCGGGGCU